rnacentral:misc_RNA from 1 species
GAUGAAGAACGCAGCGAAAUGCGAUAAGUAAUGUGAAUUACAGAAUUCAGUGAAUCAUCGAAUCUUUGAACGCACAUUGCGCCCGCCAGUAUUCUGGCGGGCAUGCCUGUUCGAGCGUCAUUACAACCCUCAGGCCCCCGGGCCUGGCGUUGGGGAUCGGCGGAAGCCCCCUGUGGGCACACGCCGUCCCUCAAAUACAGUGGCGGUCCCGCCGCAGCUUCCAUUGCGUAGUAGCUAACACCUCGCAACUGGAGAGCGGCGCGGCCAUGCCGUAAAACACCCAACUUCUGAAUGUUGACCUCGAAUCAGGUAGGAAUACCCGCUGAACUUAAGCAUAUCAAUAAGCGGAGGA